rnacentral:rRNA from 1 species
UACAGAGGGUGCGAGCGUUUGUUCGGAAUUAUUGGGCGUAAAGCGCUUGUAGGCGGCACGUCAAGUCGCGUGUGAAAUCCCCAGGCUUAACCUGGGAAGUGCGCGCGAAACUGACGAGCUUGAGUGCCGGAGAGGGUCGCGGAAUUCCCGGUGUAGAGGUGAAAUUCGUAGAUAUCGGGAGGAACACCAGUGGCGAAGGCGGCGACCUGGACGGACACUGACGCCUGAGACGGCGAAAGCGUGGGGAGCAAACAGG